AGUUGAGAACCGUUACUUGACUGGUACCUCCAGCCCACCAGCAGGCAAUGAUGGCAUCAGACUAGAGGAUCACCAGUAAAUCAUUGUAAACAAGCAUGGAAAGAGAGAAAGUCCACUUUAAGUGAUGGAAAAUCAGCCCCAAUUCUGAAGGAACAACCAUGAACAGAUGAUUUAAGGAGAAUCAAUUCUUUGCACUUUGCAGGAGGAGCCAACAGAGUGAGAUGAAGGGGACAACUUCAGAUACUCAGGCAGAAGCAUAAGUCCCCACCUGCUGACCUGCUGCCUGCUAUCUUAACACGAAUUCUUCAUCUGAAUCGAUGAGCUUUUCACAGAGUUCCAAACUAAGGAAUCCAGGAGUGGCCAAUCCAGAGAUUCAUUCCUUAUCUUUGACGAACAUCUGAACUCCUGGCUCAUCCUGUGGAAUUCAGGCCAUACAGGAGAUCAAGGGCAUUGUCUACCUAAAAGCAUCAACCUAAAUCCUAAAGAUGAGAGGAAAAUCAAGUAAGAAGAGAUAGAAACUGUCUUUGCCUGUCUAUUUGGAGUCCUUCCGUUAUCGGUUCUGGUGCUCUGACCUCUCAUUUAUUACAUUUUUUCCAAUAAGAAAGCACAGAGAUGAAGAAAUAAAAGUGCUCUCAAUGGAAAUAUUUUACAAGAAGAAAACCUUAGCUUGGUUCUCUUUGCCAUACAUUGAAUAGCCACUAUCUUCCUGUCACUCAUCUUGGCAUUUUAUGCUUUUGAGAAAGAAACACGCAGAAGAAAAAUGUCAGAAGCAGCAAUUAUGCAAUUGAGCUGAUCCACAUUUCAAAGGGCCUGGACAGGGCAAAUGCCAUGACUCUUCAUUGCUCCAGAACCAAAAACUAAUUGAGUCAGCUUCACCUCUUUGCUUUGAACAUGCCUUGGCUGAAGGUUAAUCACAUUAAUUUCUGUGAGUCAAUGUUUUGCCCUGUCCUGGAAAAAAAAAAAAAAAAAACUAUCAGCCAUUUCAAUAGUUAGAUCCCCAUGUGAUGAUUUUCAAAAUUUCCUGAACCACCAGAAUCCUGGCAACUUUGUAGGUAUGUUUUGGGUUCUUUUUUCUAUGCAACAAAUAUCGGGCUGUUGAGAGUCUAGAAACUAUUGCCUUUGCAAAUCAGGGUUUCUUAAUUGAAUUAUAGGGAGGACAAGAGAAAAUGGGUAUUCGAAUUGUGAAUUAGAAUUGUGAAUGAAUGCUUUUGCCAACCAGCAGUCACUGAAGUCCAAAAUAAAAUGAGACCCUAAGCCUUUCUCCCAUUUUCCUCUCAAACUAACUUUUUACCUAAAAAAAAAUCUGGGCUCACAUGUGGUCAGCUCAUCACUAGACC